rnacentral:rRNA from 1 species
GGUGAGUAACGCGUGAGUAACCUGCCUUACACAAGGGGAUAGCCGUUGGAAACGACGAAUAAUACCCUAUGAAACUAUCACUUCGCAUGAAGCGAUAGUCAAAGUGUUAGCGGUGUAAGAUGGACUUGCGUCUGAUUAGCUAGUUGGUGAGAAAAAGCCCACCAAGGCAACGAUCAGUAGCCGGCUUGAGAGAGCGUACGGCCACAUUGGGACUGAGACACGGCCCAG